GAUGAACGCUGGCGGCGUGCUUAACACAUGCAAGUCGAACGGUGAAGGCGGAGCUUGCUCUGCUGGAUCAGUGGCGAACGGGUGAGUAACACGUGAGCAAUCUGCCCCUGACUCUGGGAUAAGCGCUGGAAACGGCGUCUAAUACUGGAUACGAGCUGCGAAGGCAUCUUCAGCAGCUGGAAAGAAUUUCGGUCAGGGAUGAGCUCGCGGCCUAUCAGCUUGUUGGUGAGGUAAUGGCUCACCAAGGCGUCGACGGGUAGCCGGCCUGAGAGGGUGACCGGCCACACUGGGACUGAGACACGGCCCAGACUCCUACGGGAGGCAGCAGUGGGGAAGAUUGCACAAUGGGCGAAAGCCUGAUGCAGCAACGCCGCGUGAGGGACGACGGCCUUCGGGUUGUAAACCUCUUUUAGCAGGGAAGAAGCGAAAGUGACGGUACCUGCAGAAAAAGCGCCGGCUAACUACGUG
rnacentral:rRNA from 1 species